CUCGAUACCGAGGUCAAGGCAAGCGGUAGCGCUGCCUUUUCUCUCUUAGCGACGCACAAGUCGAUUAUCCUCGAGGUCUCGCUUUUCCGAUAGGAGUCUUCGCCUCAUCAUACCCGAAGCGGUCGCAGUGGCCAUGCAGAGCGCCAAAAAGCGAGAGCUUUGUUACAAGACGCGCGACGCGUUCCACAAAUGCCUUGACACCCUCCCCGAGGACCCGGAGAAAGAGUGCGCUGCUCAAAAAAAGUUAUUUGAGCAAUCAUGUCCCAAGAGUUGGGUGUCCUACUUUGAGAAGCAACGCGAGCGCGAGGUGAUCUUGCAGCUUCAGGUGGAGCAGUACAAGGGGCGGUAGUUAGUGGCUACUCUCUGUCUUUUCCGACAUGUGCUUGGCUGUCACAUUUUUCUGGAGCUGUCUCUUUGGUCACAAUCGACGUGCAAUUCUG
rnacentral:misc_RNA from 1 species